rnacentral:ncRNA from 1 species
AAAUUGAAGAGUUUGAUCAUGGCUCAGAUUGAACGCUGGCGGCAGGCCUAACACAUGCAAGUCGAGCGGUAGCACAGAGAGCUUGCUCUCGGGUGACGAGCGGCGGACGGGUGAGUAAUGUCUGGGAAACUGCCUGAUGGAGGGGGAUAACUACUGGAAACGGUAGCUAAUACCGCAUAAUGUCGCAAGACCAAAGUGGGGGACCUUCGGGCCUCAUGCCAUCAGAUGUGCCCAGAUGGGAUUAGCUAGUAGGUGGGGUAACGGCUCACCUAGGCGACGAUCCCUAGCUGGUCUGAGAGGAUGACCAGCCACACUGGAACUGAGACACGGUCCAGACUCCUACGGGAGGCAGCAGUGGGGAAUAUUGCACAAUGGGCGCAAGCCUGAUGCAGCCAUGCCGCGUGUGUGAAGAAGGCCUUCGGGUUGUAAAGCACUUUCAGCGGGGAGGAAGGCGUUAAGGUUAAUAACCUUGGCGAUUGACGUUACCCGCAGAAGAAGCACCGGCUAACUCCGUGCCAGCAGCCGCGGUAAUACGGAGGGUGCAAGC